UUAUGGGACACUAUGAAAGCAGUGCUAAGAGGAAAAUUCAUAGCACUAAAUGUCAACAUAAAGAAGAUGGAGCAAUCCCAUACCAAUGAAUUAACAGCACAACUGAAAGCUCUAGAACAAAAAGAAACAAAC